GACUCGCUCUCUUCUUAGUAUUUUUUUUGAGAUUACAUAUGAAUCAUAUGAUGAUUUGAAACGGUGUCGUUGUGCUCGUAAGUACCCAUUUGCAGUGAUCACUGACCACCAUUCAACUUUGACAUUUGCAGACCUAAUUUCUAGCUCCGGGCAAGAGGGAAAAAGGGUACAUUAAGAUAUGACGAUAAAACCAACAGUUGCUUUUAGGGCAAUUUUUGUAGGAGGUGUAGCCGCAUUUGCGAAAAUUGCUGGUGCAGUGAAGGCCGCAGGUGGUGCAAAGGUGGGUGCAGCAGCGGCGGCAAUGACAGCCGCGGCAAGUGCAGCCAUGUCAGGAUCAAAUAACGAACCAAAGGAGGCUUCGAAGCAGUCUUUGAAGUGACUCUUUUACAGAUUUAGGAAUGAAUUAUGAAAAUGUACCAGAGCUGCAGUUUGCUGUGAGCUUGCUGGUAAUUCUUUAGCUUUGCUGAAUUGUGAACUUGAUUGUAGUAGUAUGUAUAAAACGGUUCCAAAUAAAAGCCGUAGUUCAGUAGAUAUCUGAAGCUGAAAGUGUCCUAAGUGACCUCGGGAUAAAAAUGGUUGGGCGUCGUAGCCAACUGUGGUAAAAUAGUUGUGUCAAUGUUGUAAUGCCUGAUGAUUUUGAGCGCCAAGGAAAAGAUGUUAUAGUUGAUUUUGUCGAGGCUUUUGUAUCACUUUGGCACUUAUAAACAACUGCAAUACAGAAUUUUAGUUGAUUA